AUUAUUUCCAGGUGUGUCUGUGAAGGUGCUUCUGGUUGACAUUGACAUUUCGAUCAGUGGACUGAGUAAAGCAGAUUACCCUCCCCUGAUGAAGGUGGGCCUCAUCCAAGUUGUUGAAGGCCUGAAUAGAAUAAAAGACUGAGUAAGAAGGAAUUUUCUCUCCCUGCUUGACUAUCUUUGAGCUGGGACAUCAAUCUUCUCCUGCCUUCAGACUCAGACUCAGACUAGAACUUACACCAAUGGCUCCCUGGUUCUUAGGCUUUCCGACUUGUACUGGAACUAUACCAUCAGCUCUCUUGGGUCUGGCUUUCUCAGCUCCAUAAUUGUGUGAGCUAAUUCCUUAUAAUCUCUCUCUCUGUCUCUCUCUCUCUCUCUCUUUAUUCUCCCCUCCCCCAGAGAACCCUAACUAAUACAGCCCCUCCUUCACGCCAAGAAAGAAAAAAAGAGGAAAAGGAUGGUAACCUUGGUAAAGCCAAGAGAGUCAAUGACCAUCAAAACAUCAAGAUUAAUCUUGGGUCCAGACAAGAAAGGCAGUAUCUUAUUACUCUGCUCUGAUCUGAUAAUACCUAGAGCGUCAUGCCCAGUUCUGGUAACCCUAGUAUAGAAGGAAAAGGUCAAACAAAGGAAGUCCAGAAGGAAAUGACCAAAGCAGACGAUGCAUCUAAAGUCACACCAGUGAAAAACAGUCCGGAGAACUGGAGAAGUUCUUUCAGGGAGAAGAUUUCGGGGAAAGAUAUAAUAGCUGUCCUCAAACUCUCAAACUGCCAACAGCAAGAAGAGGAAUGACACUCGUUCAGUCUGCCUCCAAGGUGCAGUGACAUGGAGUGAAUGUUUUAAGGAGAAAGAGUUCAGCCCAAUGUAAGGAAGCUCUUUUAUGGAUGGACUGGACUGAAAUGAGAGUCUAAGUUUUCUUCAUGGAACCCAUGUGACACCAGGCUCCAAAUGCCACUCCCAGAGAACCAUGAUGGAUGGUGGUUUUCAUGGACGCUUCCAGGAAUGGCUGUAUGAUUUUCCAUCACAUAGGAGGACCACGAUUUGACAAAAAUGAUGUUUAAGGUUCUUCUCAACUUAUUACUCUGGGAGUUUCCACUGACUUUCCUACAUCCUAAGUCAAGAUGAUAGUAGGAUAAUGGCAUAUCAUCACUCUCGUUGCCAGGAUUGCUGGAGAACGUUGAUUCGCCGCUGCUUCCAAAACCAGAUCAAGACACUGUUUGACUUUCAGAUGUUUUGACCCUAAUCAGAAGAUAGUCCAAGAUUUAUUACAUAAGAACUAUCUAAAAUGGAUAUGAUGUUGUCAUGAACUCUGGUCCAUUGUAAAACCAUG
rnacentral:lncRNA from 1 species